rnacentral:lncRNA from 1 species
GUCCCAGUGAAUCUCCCAGCAGCCCUCGAGUUUCCCUUCUGCCUUGGCUGCCCAGAAGGAAGCUUCACAACCUUUUGUGCUGCCUUUGCCUUAGCCCAGCUUUUCCUCUGUCACAUCAGAUAAUGAUGUUUGAACUGAACAAUUAAGGGUUCUGAAAU